GAGGCAUGUUGUGGAAUUGGAAGGCUCUUGCCUGCUCUAGUCCUCAGUCCAGCUGAGUGGGGAUGCAAUGUCAGCCAUCCAGUUCACCAACCACAGCUGCACUGUGCAAAAAGGAUGGAAGAACAAAAUACCCAUGAGACAACACCGUGGCUUUUGAAACAGGUAUGUAGGCUUUCUUGUUUAAUAGCAGUUAAAAGAGGAAAAUGUACAAGAGGAAUAAACAUGCUCUUUUCACAGAGGAGCUUUCCCCUAACCAUGCGGCCCAUCUGUAUCAGUAGCUUUACAAGUAAGUUUUAGAGAAAAAAGUUCCCUUUAGAGUUAAAAAUGGACUUUCCUAAUUUUCUCUAUAUAUGUGCAACUAUCUGUGUAAAAUAAAAAUGCCAUUUCCAACACCUUUGUGAAAAGUAAUUGUGAAUGCAGGCAAAAAAAAAAAAAACAAAAAGGAAGAAGAAGAAGAAGAAGAAGAGGCAAUUGCAGUCAAGAGAGGAGUCCUGGGAGAAGGGAGGCUAAGGUAGGGGAAUUUCUGCAGCAGUUCCUAGAGAGUGUGCUCAGAGGCCUGAUGAGGAAGGUCAUGGCCAAAGCCAGUCUUGGGAGAUAAAAGGCCGUGGGUCUGGGACUUGCUGAGUAAGCACUUGUCAAGUGUACAGUAAGGCUAGACUGACUUGGAGGACUGGUAUGCAAUGAGAACAGUGGGCAAUGCACCCUGGAAGCUCUACAUUCCCUUUGCCAACAGGAUCUCACUUCCUGGUUCCCAUUUUCAGGUCCUGUUCUUCCCUACCUGCAACAGCUUCAUUUAUAGCCUGCUCAAAGAGAUUUUCCCUAUGAAUGUUAAAAUGAUGCAAGCAGCCUAUAUUACUACUGAAACCUAAUAGAGUCCCAAACUGAACUGUCCCUUCAGGAAUAUAGACCUGGUUUCCUCAAGAACUUGGCCAAGGGUUCAUCCUGACCAGAAGCCAUACAGGCUUCUAGCCAUCUGUGUGCUUGCCCUCUUAUUGAGGCCCUCCACGGUACUUCUACAUCUCUAGGUAUUUGAGGCCAUAUCUGAGGAGUCUGAUGGGUCUGGGCACACAUGCUUUGCACAAGUCCUCUCAAGGGUUGGCCCAGCUACAGGUUAUAGACAAAACUAAAAACAUCCCACUUUUCUAGUUCAAAAACUUGACAUUGCUGGUCCCUGUUUUUACCUUCCCUGGCCCACCAAGAGUAUGUCUCUACAUACAACUCAGUAGCUGCAUGUUGUUUUUUGUUAGAUAAGGUGAAGGCAGACUAAGAAUGGAGAGAAGAUAUAUCAAAGGGUCCAUCUUUAUGUCUUGAGCUUGAAUAAGCUUUUCCUUUCAUGGGACUUCUGUGCAGAAUAACCCCUAUUCCUCCACCUUGUUCACUUUUUCCUGUAUAGCACAGUUCUUCCAAGGCAGAGGUUUGAGACCAGACCAGCAAUGAUGAUCCUCUAAAAAGACAAACACUGUGCCAUGCUUACACAUCUCUCCAUUUCCACUUCAAAGUCUCUCAGCACUUAAAGCUGAAGAGAUCUUGCUGCAAACUGGGUACUAGCAAAGAGAAGUGUUUUGAACUCUUCUCAAGCAAUAGAACUUCAGAUUAAUAUAAUCGUUUCUCACUUGUUUCAACAAAGAUGAGAGCUUGGCGAUGCCAUUUUGGCUCCUGCCUUCUCUUGGCUUAUCAAGUUCUGGGUGGCAGUGCUCAUCCCUUACCCUCAUUCUGAAACCCUGGCCAACCAUCCAGCCCUCAGGAUGAGCCUCAGCAGCAUCUAUGAGCUCACAUGUAGCCUGGUCUCUCCAGCUUUGAGGAAAUUUGUAUGUCUGUGUGCACAUCCUCUUCCCCAUGACUAUCAAGAUAUGAUAGGAUAUGGUGAGGUAGGGGGGUUGGGGAGGGGCAAGGAAGUACUUCCCUCCCCAGAAGCAACUCAGUAGCUGACAAAGGUAGUGAAGAAUUCUGUUUGAUGAGUCUCUCCUCCCAUCAAUCCAAGCUGGAAAUGCCUGUGUGGCUUAUUUGUCAUUGUUUGGUGAUGCACAAUUAUACUCUUGCCACUAGCCAUCUUUCUGCUACUAGCCAGUAGCAUCUUUCUGAAGUGUCUUAAAGUACAGUUUCCCCCGACUGACCUCAUAGCAAAGCCCUUGCGUUAAGUCUCAGGAGUCCAUCUGGGUCAAUGAGUGCAGCCUCCACGCUAAGCUGCUCCAGGCUUUAGAGUUUGGAGGACAGGAUUAUAGGCAAUCUUUCUUAGACAAGGCCAAAGAUGGCUUUGGGGAUCUCAAAAGAGGGUGGGAACCUUGGGCUUGAGCAACAAAAUAAUAUCUAGGAUAUUAUUUAGUGAAGGACAGUUGGGCCAGAGGCAACAAGCCACAAGCCAUGGUUGGCUCUGUCGACUUUAUGGUAACAAUGUCUCCAUCCCUAGAGGCAUCCAGUCCAGGCAUGGCUGCCCCCACAGUGCAGAGCUGGUGACAUUUCCUUAAAGAUGAUAACCAAAAAGCUGGUUUUAAAACAUAAAGGAACAAUCCCAACUAAUCCUCAGGUUACACCUAAGGGUAAGGUAAAGGCCAUUUUUAGGCUUCCGAAAUCUGAACUAUUUCAAUGGCAUUACUGGAGGAGGCUAAGUCUGAAACGCCCUGUGAAGGCCUAUGGAAGUAACUGUUGAUUUAUGUCCUGAACCAAGUGCUCUGACUGUAAGUGAAGGAAAUGAGAUGAACAGGGAAGGGAUUGGGUCUCUGAUUCCAUGAAAACUGGCUUUCAAGAUCCAGAAAAACUCUUCGAGUUGAGACUCAACACUCCUAGAGCUGGGGCAAUAUGCAGUUAAACAUGGGAUCCAAUUAUUACUGCUGUCUACUUAGCUGUAUCCUGCCCUAGAAAAAAUUGCAAUAAAAG
rnacentral:lncRNA from 1 species